CCUACGGGGGGUUGCAGUGGGGAAUAUUGGACAAUGGGGGGAACCCUGAUCCAGCCAUGCCGCGUGUGUGAAGAAGGCCCUCGGGUUGUAAAGCACUUUCAGUGAGGAAGAACGCCUGGUGGUUAAUACCCAUCAGGAAAGACAUCACUCACAGAAGAAGCACCGGCUAACUCCGUGCCAGCAGCCGCGGUAAUACGGAGGGUGCGAGCGUUAAUCGGAAUUACUGGGCGUAAAGCGCGCGUAGGUGGCUUGAUAAGCCGGUUGUGAAAGCCCCGGGCUCAACCUGGGAACGGCAUCCGGAACUGUCAAGCUAGAGUGCAGGAGAGGAAGGUAGAAUUCCCGGUGUAGCGGUGAAAUGCGUAGAGAUCGGGAGGAAUACCAGUGGCGAAGGCGGCCUUCUGGACUGACACUGACACUGAGGUGCGAAAGCGUGGGUAGCAAACAGGAUUAGAUACCCUUGUAGUC
rnacentral:rRNA from 1 species